ACGAAGGGUGCAAGCGUUACUCGGAAUUACUGGGCGUAAAGGGCGCGUAGGUGGUCUGGUAAGCGUGCGGUGAAAUCGCGGGGCUCAACCCCGCGCCGGCCGUGCGAACUGCUGGACUGGAGCACUGUAGAGGCGGGUGGAAUUCCGGGUGUAGCGGUGGAAUGCGUAGAGAUCCGGAAGAACACCGGUGGCGAAGGCGGCCCGCUGGGCAGUGGCUGACACUGAGGCGCGACAGCGUGGGGAGCAAACAGGA
rnacentral:rRNA from 1 species